rnacentral:rRNA from 1 species
UUAGAGUUUGAUCCUGGCUCAAGAUAACCUCUGGCGGCGCACAUAAGACAUGCAAGUCGAACGAACUUAACCAUUAGUUUACUAUUGGAGCGGUUAGUGGCGGACUGGUGAGUAACACGUAAGCAACCUGCCUAUCAGAGGGGAACAACAGUUAGAAAUGACUGCUAAUACCGCAUAUGCCUUGAGUAUCACAUGGUACAAAAGGGAAAGGAGCAAUCCGCUGAUAGAUGGGCUUGCGUCUGAUUAGAUAGUUGGUGAGGUAACGGCCCACCAAGUCGACGAUCAGUAGCCGGACUGAGAGGUUGAACGGCCACAUUGGGACUGAGAUACGGCCCACACUCCUACGGGAGGCAGCAGUCGGGAAUAUUGCGCAAUGGAAGAAACUCUGACGCAGUGACGCCGCGUGCAGGAAGAAGGUUUUCGGAUUGUAAACUGCUUUAGACAGGGAAGAAACAAGACAGUACCUGUAGAAUAAGCUCCGGCUAACUACGUGCCAGCAGCCGCGGUAAUACGUAGGGAGCAAGCGUUAUCCGGAUUUAUUGGGUGUAAAGGGUGCGUAGACGGGAAAUUAAGUUAGUUGUGAAAAUCCCUCGGCUUAACUGAGGAACUGCAACUAAAACUGAUUUUCUUGAGUGCUGGAGAGGAAAGUGGAAUUCCUAGUGUAGCGGUGAAAUGCGUAGAUAUUAGGAGGAACACCAGUGGCGAAGGCGACUUUCUGGACAGUAAACUGACGUUGAGGCACGAAAGAGUGGGGAGCAAA